ensembl:lncRNA
UGCUACGCCAUCUUGGUUAAGUGAUCAGAACUCAUACUCUGAGGUGCUUUGUGGACAGAGGUGAGCUUGCUGCUCACUCUAACCUGUUCAGUUGUGAAGAGCCAGUUUACAAUCCCCCUGGCCUGUCUAGUGGGGGAGGGGAGCCUACUGAAGGAGUAAGAAAUGUACAGUUCUUGUCUCUAAGAGAGGGCGGUAACAUGAUGUGCUAAAAGUCACCAGCAAGGAAUUUGUAACAAAGUUUGCUUUUACAUUACAGUAAUGUAUUAUUGUAAAAUUAGUCAACCGUAAUGAUGUGUAUCUUACAGCAAUAUUUACCCUUUAUAUUCCUUCAUUGUAUUCCCCACAGAGAAGAUGAUGAUGUUUGGGAGCAAACCACCCCCAGCUAGUGCACCCGCCGGUCUUCACCCUCCUCUGCCAGAUCCACAACCCCUGGAUCGGAUCCCGAAGGUUGCUGGAUCGGAUCCCCAAGCUGACAAGGCCCUGGCUCCUCGCCCCUCUCAGCCAGUUAAUCUAGAACUGCCGGGGCCUCUCAGAGAAGAGGGAGGAACAGAGCUAGGGCCACUGGAAACAGCACCGGAAACACUACAAUAGAGGGAGAUGAACCUGAGCACAGAUGGCACACAGUCAUUAUAGAUUGUGGAGCCAAUACCACCCAGGUUCAGAACCACAGUUGGAUAGUACUCAAACAUACAACCCCUUCCAGCUGAUUCAGCUGUACUCAACCACCUCUGUGCUGGGGACACUAGUAUCCAAUAGCAGCAAGUAUGGGGACAAGAAGCAGCAGAGGGGGAAGAAGAUGAACUGCUCUCGUACGUUUCCCUGGUAAUAUACAUGGACUGGCAAAGGUAUCAAGUUCCCUGCCUCAUGAAUGAAAACCAUUUCUUGGCUUUCAACUGUACUCGUCACAUGAGUGACCCACAAAAGUAUGAGGGGAAUGACAAGAAGAAGGGGAGCGCAGGGUAUGAUCGUCUCACAAGAGUCAAGCUUGGUUAUCUUUUAGGCUUAAUCAGUGUGUAAUAGCAGUGGAAUUACCCCAUUUGGACACUUUGGAGAGGUUGAAAGGACACUUGGAUGCCCCCUAGAUGUCCCCUGGAUGUCCUCUGACACUGUUUGAGAGAGGCUGAUAUUGUAGAAAUUGUGUUUUUAAAGGAACAAAUCACUUUUAGGCUUAUUCAACGUGUAAUAGCAGUGGAAUUACUUCAUUUACAUACAUACAACACUUUGGAGAGGUUGAGGGGACACUUGGAGUUGACCCUUGACCGCAUCUGACACCCCUUACUAAAACAUCUAUAAAGUUCUAGCUGUUGUGUCCCCCCCAGAAGUGUUUGGCUUGUUAUGGAAGCGAUCUGACGUGUUUCCAGCUCUUUUCAUCAAUAAUUGAUUUAUAGCUUGUCCAUGAAAGACGACUUUCAAAAUAAAAUAAAUACGGUUACUCUCUGUGUGCUUGAUCUUGUGUUAUCUGAACUGUGCCAGUCCUAUCUAUGUUCUGACCAUUUUCUUAUAAUCUCCCAGGUAUUUUCUUUCCAAUAAUCCCACAAUUAAGGACAAAUGUCCUUAUCGUUGCUCAUUAAAAUCAGUUACUUUUGGGUAUGUCUAUUUAGGCAGAAAUGUACAUUCAUCUACACUGAUUAAAAUGGAUUUAACAGUGACAUCAAUAAGGGAUCAUAGCUUUCACCUGGAUCUACCUGGUCAAUCUAUGCCAUGGAAAUAGAUUAAUGUUUUGUACACUCAAUGUAUGUGCUCUAUAGUAUGUACAAAUAAAAUUGUCUGUGUAAGAAAUGCUGUCUUUAAUUGAGAUCUUCACAAUAAUGAAUCAUGGCCUGUAGGCCAAGUCCUCCAUGAGAGAUACAUUCAGCAGCAUAACUUGAGGGGGACUGGCAUCAACAGGAAGAUCAAAAGGAAUUGUGUGGUAGCCCAUAUGGGACUAGCCAUCUAUCCUAAACAGUUUAGUCCAUAGUGAUGCAAUGCGCUGUAGCCCUGUCUGUAUGACAGUUCAAUAUGUUGUCCAUUGUUCAUUAAUCAGCGCGGUCAUUUAUUGAGCCCCCCUGUCCCUCCCCAUGCCUGCUCCCCUGUCCCUCCCCAUGUCUGUUCCCCUGUCCCUCCCCAUGCCUGUUCCCCUGUCCCUCUCCAUGCCUGUUCCCCUGUCCCUCCCCAUGCCUGUUCCC